GACGGAGGGUGCGAGCGUUAAUCGGACUUACUGGGCGUAAAGCGCAUGUAGGCGGCCGAACAAGUCAGGUGUGAAAUCCUCGGGCUUAACCUGGGAAGUGCACUUGAUACUGUCCGGCUAGAGUUUGGCAGAGGAAAGUAGAAUUCCCGGUGUAGCGGUGAAAUGCGUAGAUAUCGGGAGGAAUACCAGUGGCGAAGGCGGCUUUCUGGGCCAAUACUGACGCUGAGGCGCGAAAGCGUGGGGAGCAAAUAGG
rnacentral:rRNA from 1 species